rnacentral:lncRNA from 10 species
GAGCUCACUAUUUUAGAGAAAAAGGAUCAGACAGAACAAUUAAAAACAAAACAGUUGAUGCCAGCUUCUGAGUUUAAAACUCCUGGUAGAGAUAGCAGUUGAAAGAAAGGUUUGGAAGAUCAGCAAGAAUGGAUGAUAAUGCCCUCAGUGUAUUGGAUGAUACCUGCCAAUACUGGAAAGGCCAUGUGACCACACACCAAGAAGCUAGCUGUCUGCCAGCCAGGAAGAGAGCCCUGACCAGUAAUCAAAUUGGCUGAAGACUUGAUCUUGGACUCCUUGUCUCCAGAAAUAUGUUGGCACUUCUUAGGAAGGAGCCAUCCAUGUCUGAAGAGAAGAAAUGAUAAUUAACUUCAUCAUGUGGAAAGCUUUAGAAGGAAGUAUCUUGUCCUUCUGUCCAAACCCGCCUCCUCCUUACCACCCCCAAUAAAAAUAAAAGCCAAACAAAUAAAACAUUAGCAGUAGCUCUGAGUUUCUUCCUUUCACUUUUUCUCUCUCUUCAUGCCUUUUCUCCUCCAUUCCUUCCUUCUUUCAAAUCAUUUUUACUAGUUUAAGAGAAUAAUUCAAUCUAUAUUUAGAAAUCAGACUUAAAACUUCAAAAAUUAUACUGAAAUAGCUUCCCCUUAAAGGGUGAAACAGUCAUGAUAAAAAUAACAACCGAUAGAAUAAAAUAAUAUAAAAUUAGCUGAGUUUAUAGUUUCUUUUACACCUCCAUAAUUUAUGUGGAUUUGGAAAUACAGACAGUAUACUGAAAACUAAGAAGUUUUCUAUGAAUUAUGAGAAUUUGCAAUCCACAUAGGCUUAAGUCUAAUGUUAGAAGAUAAAACAAAUUGACCUUAAAUAACUUUCUGACAUAACCUCCCCAUUUCAUGGAUGAAAAACCCUAAAGCUCUCAUAAGUAAAGUGAUUUACUUCAGGACACAAACUAGUUGAUUUAGUUUGGAUGUUUGUCCCCUCCAAAUCUCAUGUUGAAAUGGAAUCCCCAGUGUUGGAGGUGGGGCCUGGUGGGAGGUGUUUGUGUCAUGGGGCAGAUCCAUUAUCCUUAUGAGCUGCUUGGUGCUAUCCUUGUGAUAGUGAGUGAGUUCUCAUGAAAUCUGGUUGUUUAAAAAUUUGUGGCACCUCCCCACCAGCCUUGCUCCUGCUCUUGCGGUGUGAUAUGCCUGCUGCCUCUUCACCUUACACCGUGAUUAUAAGCUUCCUGAGGCCUCACCAGAAGCAGUUCUUCUAUCAGGAUUUUAAGAGGGCAGGCAGAACUUUAAAGCAAAGGAAAUUGCUUGUUUUUGUGAAAUUAACCAGUCUGUUAUCAAGGCGGAGGACAAGAUACGAAUGCUAAUCAUUGUGAAGAAACUCAUUACGGAAUUUUCUCCAAUACAUAGGCAAAAGA